UAAAAAUGGGACGCUCUUUCGAGAUAUGGUGUGUCCGCAACAUAUGCAGGACCACAACCAAUUUGGGAACCCUGUAUCCAUUGAAAUUUCAUCUAUUCAAACGGAACUUAACAUUUAUCGGGCUUUGUCAGAUAUGUAAUCAAUUUCAUAUAAAUAACAAUUUCACAAUUUAUGUAUACAACAUUCAAUUCAAACAUAUAAAUAUACACAGUUUAGUUACAUGAACUUACCUUGACAAGUGUUCG
rnacentral:lncRNA from 1 species